UGUGACCUCAAAUCAGGUAGGACUACCCGCUGAACUUAAGCAUAUCAAUAAGCGGAGGAAAAGAAACUAACAAGGAUUCCCCUAGUAACUGCGAGUGAAGCGGGAAAAGCUCAAAUUUAAAAUCUGGCAGUCUUUGGCUGUCCGAGUUGUAAUCUAGAGAAGCAUUAUCCGCGCUGGACCGUGUACAAGUCUCCUGGAAUGGAGCGUCAUAGAGGGUGAGAAUCCCGUCUUUGACACGGACUGCCAGGGCUUUUGUGAUGUGCUCUCAAAGAGUCGAGUUGUUUGGGAAUGCAGCUCAAAAUGGGUGGUAAAUUCCAUCUAAAGCUAAAUAUUGGCGAGAGACCGAUAGCGAACAAGUACCGUGAGGGAAAGAUGAAAAGAACUUUGGAAAGAGAGUUAAACAGUACGUGAAAUUGCUGAAAGGGAAACGCUUGAAGUCAGUCGCGUUGUCCAGGGAUCAACUCUUGCUUUUGCUUGGUGUAUUUUCUGGUUAACGGGUC
rnacentral:rRNA from 2 species